GUUCUGUGUGCUUAAGCAAAGCAAGAAUUUCAUUGUCCUAUGCAGGGACACAUGACAAUAAACUCACUUGAACUUCUCUUGACAAUGUCUCUAAGGACUACAACUUCCAUGGUGCACAGCGGUAGCUGCGCCUGCGUGUUCACACCAGGGCGGGGCCCCUGCUGAUGGACAGCGCGGCUACACCAAUGGCACUGGGAGCCGCCGAUGGACGGAGCACUCCUCCAAUGGGGAGGGAGGAAGGAGCGGUUGCCAGCCAAUGGGAGAGGAAGGGGCGGGACCUGCGCGGGCCGGGGGCGGGGUGAAGCUUGCUGUCCUUUUCAAGUUCGGUUGGCCGGCGCGCAGGCGAGCGAUGAGAAACAUGAAAGCCAAGCGAGGCACAGGGGGGGGAAGAACCGGCGAAUAAAACCCCCCAAACCCAACAAUAACUACCCGUUCCCCUCAGAAACAACACAAGAGACGCUUUAAAGUCGACGAAGACUGCCCCCAUGCCGAUGUGGAGAAUAUUCCGCCAGUUUAGACGGUGUAUUCACCUCCCCCCCCCCCCCCCCCUCCAUAACCCAGAAACCGAAGGCCUCUUGUUUUUGUUCGACUGAGGCGAUUUUUAUUCCCUCUCUCUCUCGCUCCUUCUGGAAUGUUCCCGACGGUUCUCCGGCCGAGGAAGGGGAGGCGGAGCGCGAGAGAACCAUACAGCACCAGAGACCUGGGUUCGAUCCUGACUAUGGGUGAUGUCUGUACGGAGUUUGUACGUUCUCCCCGUGACCUGCAAGGGUUUUCUCCCGAGAUCUUCGGUUUCCUCCCCCACUCCAAAGAUGUACAGGUUUGUGGGUUAAUUGCCUUAGUAUAAAUGUAAAAUUAUCCCUAAUGUGUGUAGGAUACUGUUAAUGUGCAGUGAUCGCUGGUCGGUCCAGACUCGGUGGGCACGCUGUUUCUCUAAACAAAACUGGAUUGCAAAACAAAAUAUAUUCCGAUAAUCAUAGAGAGCAAAAAAACGUUCUUAAAAUUAAGAGGCUUUAAGCAGUUUGUCAAUUUUAUUGCAGUACCAAAUACAAUUCAAAACAUUGGUAGAAAUACAAGAGGUUAGGCAAGAUAAACAUUUUAAAAUAAUUACUGUUAAGUCAGCAAUCUGAAAUAUUAAUUUUCUUUCUGGUGUCAGACCUACUACAUAGUUUUAUUUUCAGGUUCUCCCCAUAUUGGCGUUGGUGGCGUGACUCACCCAUUGCAGCGGCCCCUGCAGCCUGUCUGUCUUUUUUAAAUUUUGUGUCUAGUUAAAUGUAGUGUUGGUGUUUUUUUAAUACUGGUUUUAAAUGUGUAUAUGUGGGGGGGAGGGGGAAACCGUUUAAAAUCUCUUCCCUGUACGGGAGACACGACCUUUUCCCUGUCGGGUCUCCGUUGUCGUUGGGGCCUAGCACCGUGGAGCGGCCUCCAACCUGAACGACCCGGGGGCUCGGGAAGCUGCGGACAACUCACCAUCGUGGGGCUGGCCAGCCUCGGAGCGUGGGGAGCGGCGGUGACUCGACUCCUGAGGCUCGGAGGCUCCAGCAACGCAGCCGCAGGUCCGGUGGACUGUAGGGACAUCGGGAGCUCGCGGGUCCGGUUGAGGAGACCACAUCCCAGAGCUCCCGCAACGCGACUUCUCCAGCCCGUGUCGCGGGGUUGGAACGACCCGGAGCGGGGCCGUACAUCGCCCGGUGCAGCUUCAUGGCCGUGGGACAUUACAGCCCCCGCCAGGGGCUCUGUGACUUUUAGACCGGGAGCGGGGCCGUAAAUCGCCCGGCACGGCCUAAAAUGGCCGGGGGACUUAUCAUCGCCCGUCUGGGGCUUGACAUCGGGGGAGACAUGGAGAACAGGGGAGAGAAAAGACUUUGUCUUUCAUCACAGUGGGUCCACUGUGAUGGAUGUUUGUGUGAAUUAAAUUGUGUGUAUGUUUGUAGGAAAUUGUCUUUGUAUUGCUGUGGAAAAGGAAUUUUGUUUGAGCCUCACUGAGGCUCAAAUGACAAUAAAUAUUGUAUUUUAUUGUAUAUUCAUGGCAUUUCCGUUUAGAACAAUAAUUUUACAAGCAAAUAAAGAAAGUGUACAUUCUGCAAGUCUCAUUAUUAACCAGAGGAAGCAAGAUUGCUGUGUUACCACUUUUCCAAUCUUCAGCAAAAGUAAACAUUUCCUCCAUUGUUACAGUUGCUUCCUCAUUUUAAGCAACAGUUGUAAUCAUCCAAAAGCCAGAUGGAUCACGAUAAUUCCAUUUAAUUUUAUCUGCCAAUAUUAGGUGGGUAAAUUUGGAAUGAAAUGAGCAUUUUGCUGGUCAACUUUUAUUUUUCAUCUUUUUAACAUCAUGCACAAUUCAUCGAAUUUAAUGGAGGUUUUUUAUGGCAAAUUUUUUUUUUGCAAAACUGCAGAAAUACAAUGCACAGUCUCAAUCGGAAAUUAUUGCAGGCAUGAUGAUUGCAAGGAUCAGUGCAAUUUCUUAUUUAAGGUGAACAGUUUGUUUAAGGUGAACAAAACUGGGUGAAAAUUUUAAUUAGAGCCGUUACAUUUGUAUAUCCUUGAAUAGGGGAGUUGGAAGCCCUCAUUGCAGGUCAGUAAAAUUGGCACCACAAGAAAGGAAUAUGGUGUAGGAAGGAACUGCCAGUGCUUGUUUAAACUGAAGAUAGUUGUGUCAACGAGACAGGCAGCAUCACUGAAGAGAAGGAAUGGGUGAUGUUUUGGGUCGAGACCCUUCUGACUGAUGUCAGGAGAGGGAGGUAGAUAAGGACGAGUAAGGUGUGAAAACAGGACAAGGGGAAUGGACAUCAAAGAAAAUAGAAUAGAUCAUUGUUAGCUGGGAGAAGGCGUAGUCGGAGAGCAGGAGGAAUUACAGGCGCAGCAGCAAGAGAGGAUGUUGCAGAACUGGUGUCGGAGAGAGGAGGAGAACUUCUUCAAAGUAGACAUACCAUGAGAUUUCGCAGUGGAGCAGACAAAAUGUAGGAAGGAACUGCAGAUGUUGGUUUAAACCGAAGAUAGACACAAAAUGCUAGAGUAACUCAGCGGGACAGGCAGUAUCUGGGGAGAAGGAAUGGGUGAAUAUGGUGCCCUUUAAUUGCAUAAAGUUUGUAUUUUUGUAGUACAGCAUUGCGGGGGGGGGGGGGGGGGGGGGGGGGGGGGGGGGGGGGGGGGGGGGGGGGGGGGGG